rnacentral:rRNA from 1 species
AACGUAGGACGCAAGCGUUAUCCGGAAUUACUGGGCGUAAAGCGCGUGUAGGCGGAUGUUUAAGUCACUGUUGAAAGCUCUCGGCUAAACUGAGAGAGGUGCGGUGAGACUGGACAUCUGGAGAGUGUCAGAGGGGUGCAGAAUUCCGGGUGUAGUGGUGAAAUGCGUAGAGAUCCGGAGGAAUACCAGAGGCGAAGGCGGCACCCUGGGACAUGUCUGACGCUGAGACGCGAAAGCAUGGGGAGCGAACGGG